UACGAAGGGUGCUAGCGUUGUUCGGAAUUACUGGGCGUAAAGCGCGCGUAGGCGGCUUCGCAAGUCAGGGGGGAAAUCCUUGGGCUCAACCCAAGAAUUGCCUUUGAAACUGCGGAGCUAGAGUGUCGGAGGGGAUAGCGGAAUUCCUAAUGUAGAGGUGAAAUUCGUAGAUAUUAGGAGGAACACCGGUGGCGAAGGCGGCUAUCUGGACGACAACUGACGCUGAGGCGCGAAAGCACGGGGAUCAAACAGG
rnacentral:rRNA from 1 species